GAUGAACGCUGGCGGCGUGCCUAAUACAUGCAAGUCGAGCGAACAGACGAGGAGCUUGCUCCUCUGACGUUAGCGGCGGACGGGUGAGUAACACGUGUAUAACCUACCUAUAAUACUGGUAUCACUUCGGGAAACCGGCUCUAAUACCGGCUAAUAUCUUGCACCGCAUUGUUCAAUAGUGAAAUACGGUUUUGCUGUCUCUUCUCGCUGGUUCCGGGCCGCAUUAGCUAGUUGGUAGGGUAACGGCUUACCAAGGCUACCAUGCGUAGCCGACCUGAGAGAGUGAUAGGCCACACUGGAGCUGGGACACGGUCAAGACUCCUACGGGAGGCAGCAGUAGGGAAUGUGCCGCAAUGGGCGAAAGCAUGACGGAGCAAGGCCGCGUGAGUGAUGAAGGUCUUCGGAUCGUAAAACUCGGUUAUUAGGGAAGAACAAAUGUGUAAGGAAAUAUGCACGGCUUGACGGUACCUAAUCAGAAAGCAACGGCUAACUACGUG
rnacentral:rRNA from 1 species